rnacentral:rRNA from 1 species
AUUGAACGCUGGCGGCAGGCCUAACACAUGCAAGUCGAGCGAGCGGCGGACGGGUGAGUAAUGUAUGGGGACUGCCCGAUAGAGGGGGAUAACUACUGGAAACGGUGGCUAAUCCCGCAUAACAUCAGAUAACCCAUAUGGGAUUAGCUUGUAGGUGAUGUAACGGCUUACCUAGGCGACGAUCCCUAGCUGGUCUGAGAGGAUGAUCAGCCACACUGGGACUGAGACACGGCCCAGACUCCUACGGAGGCAACAGUGGGGAAUAUUGCACAAUGGGCGCAAGCCUGAUGCAGCCAUGCCGCGUGUAUGAAGAAGGCCCUAGGGUUGUAAAGUACUUUCAGUCGGGAGGCGUUAACUACAGAAGAAGCACCGGCUAACUCCGUGCCAGCAGCCGCGGUAAUUC